AGAGUUUGAUCCUGGCUCAGGAUGAACGCUGGCGGCGUGCUUAACACAUGCAAGUCGAACGAUCCUUCGGGAUAGUGGCGGACGGGUGAGUAACGCGUGGGAAUCUGCCCUCAGGAGGGGGAUAACGGCUGGAAACGGCCGCUAAUACCCCAUAUGCCGAGAGGUGAAAUGAAUUUCGCCUGAGGAUGAGCCCGCGUCUGAUUAGCUAGUUGGUGGGGUAAAGGCCUACCAAGGCAACGAUCAGUAGCCGGUCUGAGAGGAUGAUCAGCCACACUGGGACUGAGACACGGCCCAGACUCCUACGGGAGGCAGCAGUGGGGAAUUUUCCGCAAUGGGCGAAAGCCUGACGGAGCAACGCCGCGUGAGGGAUGAAGGCCUCUGGGCUGUAAACCUCUUUUCUCAAGGAAGAAGACCUGACGGUACUUGAGGAAUAAGCCACGGCUAAUUCCGUGCCAGCAGCCGCGGUAAUACGGGAGUGGCAAGCGUUAUCCGGAAUUAUUGGGCGUAAAGCGUCCGCAGGCGGCCUUGUAAGUCUGUUGUUAAAGCGUGGAGCUCAACUCCAUUUAAGCAAUGGAAACUACAAGGCUGGAGUGUGGUAGGGGCAGAGGGAAUUCCCGGUGAAGCGGUGAAAUGCGUAGAUAUCGGGAAGAACACCAGUGGCGAAGGCGCUCUGCUGGGCCAUAACUGACGCUCAUGGACGAAAGCCAGGGGAGCGAAAGGGAUUAGAUACCCCUGUAGUCCUGGCCGUAAACGAUGAACACUAGGUGUCGGGGGAAUCGACCCCCUCGGUGGCGUAGCCAACGCGUUAAGUGUUCCGCCUGGGGAGUACGCACGCAAGUGUGAAACUCAAAGGAAUUGACGGGGGCCCGCACAAGCGGUGGAGUAUGUGGUUUAAUUCGAUGCAACGCGAAGAACCUUACCAGGGUUUGACAUCCUGCGAACCCCUGAGAAAUCGGGGGGUGCCUUCGGGAGCGCAGAGACAGGUGGUGCAUGGCUGUCGUCAGCUCGUGUCGUGAGAUGUUGGGUUAAGUCCCGCAACGAGCGCAACCCACGUCUUUAGUUGCCAGCAUUCAGUUGGGCACUCUAGAGAGACCGCCGGUGAUAAACCGGAGGAAGGUGUGGAUGACGUCAAGUCAUCAUGCCCCUUACAUCCUGGGCUACACACGUACUACAAUGCUACGGACAAAGGGCAGCAAGCUCGCGAGAGUUAGCAAAUCCCAUAAACCGUGGCUCAGUUCAGAUCGUAGGCUGCAACUCGCCUACGUGAAGGAGGAAUCGCUAGUAAUCGCAGGUCAGCAUACUGCGGUGAAUACGUUCCCGGGCCUUGUACACACCGCCCGUCACACCAUGGAAGUUGGCUAUGCCCGAAGUCGUUACUCC
rnacentral:rRNA from 1 species